AGCUCCACAGCAAUAAUACUCCCAGUAAUGUGUCUGAGUGUAUAACAGAACUCCACAGCAAUAAUACUCCCAGUAAUGUGUCUGUGUAUAACAGAACUCCACAGCAAUAAUACUCCCAGUAAUGUGUCUGAGUGUAUAACAGAGCUCCACAGCAAUAAUACUCCCAGUAAUGUGUCUGAGUGUAUAACAGAGCUCCACAGCAAUAAUACUCCCA